rnacentral:lncRNA from 1 species
UGCAACCGAGUCGACUCCAGAAGGUUACGAGUCGACUCCGAAGUUUGGCGAGUCGACUCCUAGUUACGUCCGAGUCGACUCUCAGAAGAAAGCAAGACUAAAAGGCAAAGAACCAACUUCGGGGACUCUAAGAGCCGAGUCGACUCCAAGCGCUCUAGAGUCGACUCCCAAGUCAGCCGAGUCGACUCCAAAACGAUCCGAGUCGACUCCGAGGCAGUUCAGCUCCAAAAAACUACAAAAGGUAACUAAC